UACGUAGGUGGCAAGCGUUGUCCGGAAUUAUUGGGCGUAAAGCGCGCGCAGGCGGUCCUUUAAGUCUGAUGUGAAAGCCCACGGCUCAACCGUGGAGGGUCAUUGGAAACUGGGGGACUUGAGUGCAGGAGAGAAGAGUGGAAUUCCACGUGUAGCGGUGAAAUGCGUAGAGAUGUGGAGGAACACCAGUGGCGAAGGCGACUCUCUGGUCUGUAACUGACGCUGAGGCGCGAAAGCGUGGGGAGCAAACAGG
rnacentral:rRNA from 1 species